rnacentral:rRNA from 1 species
AAAUCUCGAAGCUCAACUUCGAAACUGCGUCUGAAACUGCUAGUCUAGAGUGUCGGAGGGGGAAGGGGAAUUUCACGUGUAGGGGUAAAAUCCGUAGAGAUGUGAAGGAACACCGGGGGCGAAGGCGCCUUCCUGGACGACUACUGACGCUGAGGCGCGAAAGCGUGGGGAGCAAACAGGAUUAGAUACCCUGGUAGUCCACGCCGUAAACGAUGAACACUAGUUAUUGGGGGUAUUGACUCCCUCAGUGACGCAGCUAACGCAUUAAG